GAUGAACGCUAGCGGCGGGCUUAAUACAUGCAAGUCAAGGGGUAGCAAUACACCGGCGUACGGGUGCGUAACGCGUAUGGAACCUGCCCUUAUCUGGGGGAUAACUCGGGGAAACUCGAGCUAAUACCGCAUGGUUUAUGGAUUAAAGCUACGGCGCUUAAAGAUGGUCGUGCGUCUGAUUAGUUAGUUGGUAGGGUAACGGCCUACCAAGGCUACGAUCAGUAGGGGGCGUGAGAGCGUGGCCCCCCACACGGGUACUGAGACACGGACCCGACUCCUACGGGAGGCAGCAGUAAGGAAUAUUGGGCAAUGGACGGAAGUCUGACCCAGCCAUCCCGCGUGCAGGACGAAUGCCCUAUGGGUUGUAAACUGCUUUUGUUUGGGAAGAAAUGUAUUCUUUUAAGAGUAUUUGACGGUACCAGACGAAUAAGCACCGGCUAACUCCGUG
rnacentral:rRNA from 1 species